rnacentral:lncRNA from 1 species
GGUGUUCCAUCUUUGCAGGACAUGCUUUGUGUGGCCCAGCCGUGAGACACUGCCUCCCUGGGGGAAGGCGCUUCUGCUUUAGGGAAAACAGACUCUUAGAUCUGCUUUAGAGAAAAUAGACCAUCGAUGGCCAGCAAAUGAUGUUUCCUUUGGACACACUAGACUACUGUUUGAACACUGUACUGUAGAAGGCACAGACUGAGAUGUUGGGUCAACUGGGCAUGCCUGUCUUUGUGACUGGCUGCAUUAUCGAUCCUCCGAGCCUGUGUGCCACGCUGGAAAGCUGGAUCUAAGAGUUAAGAUUUAUUGGCUUAAAA